UGCCCAGCAACUCCUAUCCCUACCUCCACGCGGUACCGGCCGGAAACUAUGAGCAACCUUAGGGAAGAUCGGGUAACCAACCCCGGUGGGAACUUUGGUCGUAGGCUGACAGGGAAGU
rnacentral:ribozyme from 1 species